rnacentral:siRNA from 1 species
ACAAAAGUGACCAGAGCCUUAGAU